UACGUAGGGGGCGAGCGUUGUCCGGAAUCAUUGGGCGUAAAGAGCGUGUAGGCGGCCAUUCAGGUCAGCUGUGAAAACUCGAGGCUCAACCUCGAGACGUCGGUUGAAACCGUUUGGCUAGAGUCCGGAAGAGGAGAGUGGAAUUCCCGGUGUAGCGGUGAAAUGCGCAGAUAUCGGGAAGAACACCCGUGGCGAAGGCGGCUCUCUGGGCCGAUACUGACGCUGAGGAGCGAAAGCGUGGGGAGCGAACAGG
rnacentral:rRNA from 1 species